rnacentral:SRP_RNA from 2 species
GCUGGGUGUGGUGGCUCACAUCUGUAAUCCUAGCACUUUGGGAGGCUGAGGCGGGUGGAUCACCUGAGGUCAGGAAUUCGAGACCAGCCUGACCAACAUGGAGAAACCCCGUCUCUA